rnacentral:rRNA from 1 species
UACGUAGGUGGCAAGCGUUGUCCGGAUUUACUGGGCGUAAAGAGCGCGCAGGCGGUCGUUCAAGUCGCGUGUGAAAGCCCCCGGCUCAACUGGGGAGGGUCACGCGAUACUGAUCGACUCGAAGGCAGGAGAGGGUAGUGGAAUUCCCGGUGUAGUGGCGAAAUGCGCAGAUAUCAGGAGGAACACCGGCGGCGAAGGCGGGUCUCUGGGCCGAUACUGACGCUGAGGAGCGAAAGCGUGGGGAGCGAACAGG